AUGAUAAUUAUCUCUGACAUCAUCCCCUCUGAGCCAGUUAAUCUCCUCACAUGCAUAGCAAUAAUAUUUGCAGAGUUGGAGAGCCACAGCUCUGUUUGCAUUGCUGCCCAGAAGACAAAUGGUGUUCAGGAAAAUAAUCAUACCCAAGCCAUCUUUCUCCAAUAUGCUUUCUUCCUUUUUGUAAGAUUUAGUCGAAGUUGUUCUGUGUGCAUGUGUGUUUUCCCUCUCCGUGUGCCUUUUAUUGCAAGACAGAGCAAGUAUUCGUGACUCCAGCAGUUCAGCCAAUCGGGUGAGCACACUACACAUUGGUUAAUCCAAGGUGACCUGCAGGUUUAAACUUUGUUUGCAAAGUCAGCUGCAGUACAAGCAUGGAGGCAAUUAUGACAUUACAAACCACGGACAUAAAGUUGGAGAGAUGAUUUCUAAAAGGCCCGAAGAGAGUUUUUACUUCUUAGGCUUAUGACCAGAAGUUCAUGGCACAUUAAGUUUUCCAUUUGAAAGCUAAGAGAAUCCCUUGCCACAGGUUCUAACUUCUAAAAGAGAUUGGAGAGAGAAAAUGUCAGGAUUUCUCUUCGUGAAAAGUAUUCUCCAAGUGUAGUGACAGAAUGCCAGGUUUCUCUCUGUCGUUUAAGUAGGAGGUAGAAAUUGGCGGUAUAUGUGGAUAGAGGUCAACAGUGGCCAUUUUUUCAUUAUCUACAAAAAUUCUUACCCCUAACUUUUGGAAAUGGGCCCUUCAUUUUCCUUUGUGAAGCAAUGCCAUUCUCUUGUUCCCAUAGUUCGGUUAAUCUAACACCAUCACUAUGCCCCAAGGGUAGCCACAUGAUCCAGACUCAACCAAUUGGAGCAAAGCAUAUCCCUAGUCUCCAUGAUGGGUUCAGGAAUGGGCAUGUGACCCAAGCUGGAAUAAUCAGAAGCCUAAAGCUUUUGAUGAAAUAAUCAAGAAAGAGGUUCCUCUUUCCUUUGGGUUGUUAGGCUGGAAGAAUUUAAGCUUAGAGCUGCUAAUGAAUAUCUUCUCUGGCUGCAAGGAGGGAUCCUGUCUGUUCCAGGAAAGAAUGGAGCCAAUAGAGAGGAAAGUAGAACCCAGAGAUGGAGGAAGACAUGUUACCAUGCCAUCGUCUCAGCAUCCAGAGCCAGCUAUGCUGAAACCAACACAGCCCUUGGACUAGUCCACUGUUCGAACCAACAAUUUCUUGUGUGUGUGUUGAGUGGAGGGAGAAUUCUGAUAAAUGAAAUAAAAAAAAUUGUGACUGGCUUAGGGGCCA
rnacentral:lncRNA from 1 species